CAGGCCUAACACAUGCAAGUCGAACGGAAUGCUUCGGCAUUUAGUGGCGGACGGGUGAGUAACGCGUGAGAAUCUGGCUUUAGGUUCGGGACAACAGUGGGAAACUGCUGCUAAUGCCGAAUGUGCCUUAGGGUGAAAGAUUAAUUGCCUGAAGAAGAGCUCGCGUCUGAUUAGCUAGUUGGUGAGGUAAAGGCUCACCAAGGCGACGAUCAGUAACUGGUCUGAGAGGAUGACCAGUCACACUGGGACUGAGACACGGCCCAGACUCCUACGGGAGGCAGCAGUGGGGAAUUUUCCGCAAUGGGCGAAAGCCUGACGGAGCAAUACCGCGUGAGGGAGGAAGGCUCUUGGGUUGUAAACCUCUUUUCUCAGGGAAGACAAAAUGACGGUACCUGAGGAAUAAGCAUCGGCUAACUCCGUGCCAGCAGCCGCGGUAAUACGGAGGAUGCAAGCGUUAUCCGGAAUUAUUGGGCGUAAAGCGUCCGCAGGUGGCAAUUCAAGUCUGCUGUCAAAGGUUCUGGCUCAACCAGAAACAGGCAGUGGAAACUGAAUAGCUAGAGUGCGGUAGGGGCAGAGGGAAUUCCCAGUGUAGCGGUGAAAUGCGUAGAGAUUGGGAAGAACACCGGUGGCGAAAGCGCUCUGCUAGGCCGUAACUGACACUCAUGGACGAAAGCUAGGGGAGCGAAUGGGAUUAGAUACCCCAGUAGUCCUAGCCGUAAACGAUGGAUACUAGGCGUUGCUCGCAUCGACCCGAGCAGUGCCGUAGCUAACGCGUUAAGUAUCCCGCCUGGGGAGUACGCGCGCAAGCGUGAAACUCAAAGGAAUUGACGG
rnacentral:rRNA from 1 species